AGUGAACGCUGGCGGUAGGCCUAACACAUGCAAGUCGAACGGCAGCACAGUAAGAGCUUGCUCUUACGGGUGGCGAGUGGCGGACGGGUGAGGAAUACAUCGGAAUCUACUUUUUCGUGGGGGAUAACGUAGGGAAACUUACGCUAAUACCGCAUACGACCUACGGGUGAAAGCAGGGGAUCUUCGGACCUUGCGCGAUUGAAUGAGCCGAUGUCGGAUUAGCUAGUUGGCGGGGUAAAGGCCCACCAAGGCGACGAUCCGUAGCUGGUCUGAGAGGAGGAUCAGCCACACUGGAGCUGAGACGCGGUCCAGGCUCCUACGUGAGGCAGCGGUGGGUAAUAUUGGACAAUGGGCGCAAGCCUGAUCCAGCCAUACCGCGUGGGUGAAGAAGGCCUUCGUGUUGUAAAGCCCUUUUGUUGGGAAAGAAAAGCAGCAGGUUAAUACCCCGCUGUUCUGACGGUACCCAAAGAAUAAGCACCGGUUAAUUUCGG
rnacentral:rRNA from 1 species